rnacentral:misc_RNA from 1 species
GUGAAUCAUCGAAUUUUUGAACGCAAAUUGCACUCUCUUCGGAGAGUAUGCCUGUUUGAGGGUCAGCCUAUAAAAAAUCGACGUAGUCGCUGUUUCGCGGUGACAUUCGUCGGAAAUUGGGUCAUCUUAAAUCUUUGGGUUUUUUACGAGGUUAAAUUUUCUUUUUACUUCCAUACGCAUGUUUCGAAUUU